rnacentral:rRNA from 1 species
GGGGAAUAUUCUGACGGAGACUUCGGUUGAAGUCGUUAUAUUCCUAGUGGCGGACGGGUGAGUAACGCGUGGGUAACCUGCCUCACACUGGGGGAUAACAGCCAGAAAUGGCUGCUAAUACCGCAUAAGCGCACAAGGGACGCAUGUCCUGGUGUGAAAAACUCCGGUGGUGUGAGAUGGACCCGCGUUGGAUUAGCUAGUUGGCAGGGCAGCGGCCUACCAAGGCGACGAUCCAUAGCCGGCCUGAGAGGGUGGACGGCCACAUUGGGACUGAGACACGGCCCAGACUCCUACGGGAGGCAGCAGUGGGGAAUAUUGCACAAUGGGGGAAACCCUGAUGCAGCGACGCCGCGUGAAGGAAGAAGUAUCUCGGUAUGUAAACUUCUAUCAGCAGGGAAGAAAAUGACGGUACCUGACUAAGAAGCCCCGG